GAUGAACGCUGGCGGCGUGCCUAAUACAUGCAAGUCGAGCGAACAGAUAAGGAGCUUGCUCCUUUGACGUUAGCGGCGGACGGGUGAGUAACACGUGGGUAACCUACCUAUAAGACUGGGAUAACUUCGGGAAACCGGAGCUAAUACCGGAUAACAUUUGGAACCGCAUGGUUCUAAAGUGAAAGAUGGUUUUGCUAUCACUACUAGAUGGACCCGCGCCGUAUUAGCUAGUUGGUAAGGUAACGGCUUACCAAGGCGACGAUACGUAGCCGACCUGAGAGGGGUAGCGGCCAUGCUGGAACUGAGACACGGACCAGACUCCUACGGGAGGCAGCAGUAGUGAAUCAUCCGCAAUGGGCGAAAGCCGACGGAGCAACGCCGCGUGAGUGAUGAAGGGUUUCGGCUCGUAAAACGCUGUUAUUAGGGAAGAACAAAUGUGUAAGUAACUGUGCGCGUCUUGACGGUACCUAAUCAGAAAGCCACGGCUAACUACGG
rnacentral:rRNA from 1 species